rnacentral:rRNA from 1 species
AACGAACGCUGGCGGCAGGCUUAACACAUGCAAGUCGAACGGGUGUAGCAAUACAUCAGUGGCAGACGGGUGAGUAACACGUGGGAACCUUCCUCGUUGUACGGGACAACUCAGGGAAACUUGAGCUAAUACCGUAUACGUCCGAGAGGAGAAAGAUUUAUCGCAAUGAGACGGGCCCGCGUCGGAUUAGCUAGUUGGUGGGGUAACGGCCUACCAAGGCGACGAUCCGUAGCUGAUCNGAGAGGAUGAUCAGCCACACUGGGACUGAGACACGGCCCAGACUCCUACGGGAGGCAGCAGUGGGGAAUCUUGGACAAUGGGCGCAAGCCUGAUCCAGCCAUGCCGCGUGAGUGAAGAAGGCCUUAGGGUU